CAUCCUUCAAUCUCCAGGGAGGGAAGAGGGGCUGAAGGUUGAGUUGGUCAUCAUUGGCCGAGGGUUUAAUCAAUCACGCCCACAUAAUGAAUCCUCCAUAAAAACCCAAAGGACUGGGUUCAGAGAGUUCCAGGAUAGCCAAACAAAUACAUGGAGGGUGACUCACCCUGGAAAUGCAUGAAAGCUCUGCCCCUUCCCUCAUACCUGCACCCCCCUGCAUGUUCUCACUUAUAAGUGGGAGCCGAAUGAGAACACAUGGACUCCUGUGGGGGAACAACACAAGCUGGGGCCUAUUGAGGGGAGGGGAGGGAGAGCAUCAGGAAGAAUAGCUAAUGGAUUCAGUGCAAAAUACCUAAGUGAUGGGAUGACCUGUGCAGCAAACCACCAUGGCACACGUUUACCUAUGUAACAAACCUGCAUAUCCUGCACAUGUAGCCCAGAAUUAAAAUAAAAGUUGAAGAAAAAAAUAAGCAAGACUAAAAACAGGCCACUAUUGUAACCAUAACACAGAUUAGAAAUAAAGUGAUCUCUGUGUCUGCAUAUUAUGUCUGGAAAUCUUAGUUUCGUUAUUAAAUGUAACCGCAUCCACUCCAAUUGCUGAAAAACAAUGUGUGCAAGUCACCUAGCUACAAAGAAAUAAUAUUGCUCUGAGCUGUAACAAUAGCUGAUUAAAUACUUUAUGGAAAGAAAUGUCUGUCCUGGACAACUCAAAUGGGUAUGGAGUGAUGGAAAAAAAACACUGAACUGCAAAUUUUGAGAUCUGGUUCUGGCACUGUCUAGAAUUAAGAUCUUAUUUAAGCCAAUUUGUAGAACAUGGACAAUCUCUAUAAAAGUCAAAUCUUUGAUAGAAAAGUUUGUUCCUUCUAGCUCUAAAAUAUUAUUCUGAUUCUUUAAUUUCAUUCAUCACCUGUUAUUGGGUAAAAAAGAAUACUACCUUGGUAAUAGUUAAUGUUAACUUUAAAAAUCAUCUUCUUUUAGCUUCACAAUUGUCAGUUAGCUUAAAAUUAUUAACAUGAGGUGCCGGGCGCGAUGGCUCAUGCCUGUAAUCCCAGCACUUUGGGAGGCCAAGGAGGGCUGAUCAUGAGGUCAGGAGUUGGAGACCAGCCUGGCCAAUAUGGUGAAAGCCCGUCUCUACUGAAAAUACAAAAAAUUAGCCGGCCGUGGUGGCGUGUGCCUGUAGUCCCAGCUACUCGGGAGACUGAGGCAGAAGAAUCGCUUGAACCCAGGAGGCAGAGGUUGCAGUGAGCUGAGAUCACGCCACUAUGCUCCAGCCUAGGCAACAACUCUGUGUCAAAAAAAAAAAAAAAUUAUUAACCUGAGGUAAUGAUGGGACUUCUAUAUUUCAGCUGGGUGUCAAUGUCUUUUUCCUUGAAUGUGUGUUAAUAUCUUCCUUUACCACACUUCAAAUAGUUUGCAUCCUAUCUGAGGAUCAAAGAUAAAACUUUGAAGUGCUUUAUCAGCCUGGAAACCUAUUGUGAGGGCACAUAGGC
rnacentral:lncRNA from 1 species